AUUGAACGCUGGCGGAAUGCUUUACACAUGCAAGUCGAACGGCAGCACGGACUUCGGUCUGGUGGCGAGUGGCGAACGGGUGAGUAAUACAUCGGAACGUGCCCAAUCGUGGGGGAUAACGUAGCGAAAGCUACGCUAAUACCGCAUACGAUCUAAGGAUGAAAGCGGGGGAUCGCAAGACCUCGCGCGAAUGGAGCGGCCGAUGGCAGAUUAGGUAGUUGGUGGGGUAAAGGCUCACCAAGCCGACGAUCUGUAGCUGGUCUGAGAGGACGACCAGCCACACUGGGACUGAGACACGGCCCAGACUCCUACGGGAGGCAGCAGUGGGGAAUUUUGGACAAUGGACGCAAGUCUGAUCCAGCCAUUCCGCGUGCAGGAUGAAGGCCCUCGGGUUGUAAACUGCUUUUGUACAGAACGAAAAGGCUCUGGUUAAUACCUGGGGUUCAUGACGGUACUGUAAGAAUAAGCACCGGCUAACUACGUGCCAGCCGCCGCCGUAAAAC
rnacentral:rRNA from 1 species